UCUUGCAAUUGUACUCGGUUGUAAGUCGCAAGGGCACAAACGGAAGGUUAGAUGUUUUUUGGUCACCAUGUCGUGCGUAUCGUUUAGUACAUUAAGGGUGAAGAAAAUUGUUUUCUGGCACUGAUUUUAUGGAAUAUCAUGGCUCUGAAUUAGCAGUGAUCAUACAAUUGGUACUGACAAGUGGCUCCUUUAUCGAGAGAUCAAACAGCAGGGAUAGUCAUAAGGCGUAUCACACUUAAAAGACGAAAGUUAUUGAGCUGUUUAGCAAUCUUAUCAAUCUUCCGUAUUGAGCAAAAAGUUAGGACCUACAUACAAAAUAAAACAUAAAGGAAGGGAGGUUAAAGAAGGGAAGAACCUCGACAGCACCAAUAUUCCCAGAAAAUGACAAACUCCUCGUUAGCAAAUGAAGCUACAGAGAUAAAAUAGUGGCAAAUGAGCAAACGCAAUGGUGUGUUGUGCUCCAGGGUAUCGGAUUGUCUACAGUUGGCAUGCAUACGAAAUGGAUCAGAGGUCGUUUCGGUGGAUGAACAACUUCAAAGUGUAAAGACAUUCCGCGUGCCGUGGACCUAAAAAGUCCUUUUGUGUGUUUGUUUUAUUUACUAAUAACUGCUAUGACUGCUACCAUAACUGCUAUAACUGCAGCAAUUUAUCUUCUCUUGUCUGUUUUCUCUUUUCUUUUCAAGUACAUUAAAGUGUAAGGAAUUAAAAGGAGACUUGAUGAGCGCCGUGGGGUAGCUAGGCUGAGCCUGAUGUGUAGGAACGUCGCUCAGAGAAAAUCUGACACUUUCUCACACAAAAGUGCGGCUUUAUACCAUAUAAUAGAGGUAGAAAUAAUGAUCAUCAUGAACAUAUCGAAAGCUGUAAUCCUUACGGUAUUAAAUUAAGCGUGUAAUUUGUGCAUUCUGCGAAUGAUGAGAAGACAGUUUUAUGAUUUAUCAUGCUGAUAGUCAUCUAUUGUUGAAACCUUUCUGAGCUUCAGCUGACACCAGCAAUCCAAUAUUAAUCAUCAAUCUUACUCAUUCAAAGUGACCGUUGCGUGGAUAAAGAAGAUCGUGAUUAAUGCAAAUGAUUUGAUAGUUCCAAAUAUCAAACCCUCGGACUAAGAUCGCAGAAAGACAAAAUAUAUAUUAUGCAGUUAUAACUUGUGACGAUGGUCCAUAAAUUCCAAAAAGAAAAAUAUAAGAGCAAAAUAUUACUUCCGUAAUUAUCUUAUGCGGUCAAUACGAGUAUAUAUUCAGGGAUAUGGAUAGUACAGCUACAAAAUGGAGCCCGAAGAUAUGGGUUAUAUUUUGCUUGUUGAAACUUCGGCAUAUCAUUAUUUAAUCAGCCAUUAUGCUAAUAAUAGGGACAAUUCCUCCAUGGGUUAUAUCAAGUAGCCCCAGUAGGUUCGUCUAACACGCAUGCUUUUGUCAGUUCACGAAUUUACCGUUUGAGGAAGAAAGGAAAUAAGCUUUUACCUCCUGCCGAAAGUGAUGGAUGCCAUAAAAACGAGUAAAGGACGACAGCUUUUAUUCUCAUCACGCCUAAACACAGGUGGUUAAAAGACAAUCACUGACGUCGUAUUCUAACGAUCGCAGAAAUCAAGAGGAAAGUUCGGCCUCAAUCAAAACAACAUAAAGUUAAAACCCAUAUGGUGUAUAUGUCAUGUCCGCCGAUUCUUAUUUUUCUUAUCUUCACCCUAUUGUGUGUGUGGUAUUGAUGUCCAAACUGUGAUUUAUCAAAUCGUAUCAAAUCGUGACGUAUAGGCUUUGAUGAUAAGAGUGAAGCAGGAGACUCCUAAAACAACUGAAUUAAUUGUCGUCGAACGCCAGUGACAACUCACGCAUUGAAAAGGAACUAUCCAAACUAGAUGAUAAGUACAUUUUCAUAACAAUUGCUCCUUGCCAUUCACACCAUUUCACUUGAUUCGAGGCGAGUUUUUUGUUAUUGUUCUUCCUAUAAAGAUUCCUCUUUCGUUAAGUCAACGCCUACCAAAUCUUCAACCAUUUACUUAACGAAAGAAAAUGAAACUGUCACAGUGCCAACUUGUAUUAUUACUUAGUUCAAUUAUGACCUAAUGGAAACUACUGAGAACUUUAGGAGGAAAAAUCUCUCUCGGGGGAAAAAGCUAUGCGGUAUUGAGGCGAGUAUUUCUUUGUCAUUUUCUUUGAGUCAUAAGGUGGUAAUUAAAAAUCAAGAACACCCAAA
rnacentral:misc_RNA from 1 species